rnacentral:rRNA from 1 species
UACGGAGGGCGCAAGCGUUGUUCGGAAUCACUGGGCGUAAAGCGCACGUAGGCGGAUUGUUAAGUCGGGGGUGAAAUCCCGGGGCUCAACCCCGGAACUGCCUUCGAUACUGGCAAUCUAGAGUUCUGGAGAGGUGAGUGGAAUUCCGAGUGUAGAGGUGAAAUUCGUAGAUAUUCGGAGGAACACCAGUGGCGAAGGCGGCUCACUGGCCAGACACUGACGCUGAGGUGCGAAAGCGUGGGGAGCAAACAGG